rnacentral:rRNA from 1 species
GUCCACGCCCUAAACGAUGUCAACUGGUUGUUGGGUCUUCACUGACUCAGUAACGAAGCUAACGCGUGAAGUUGACCGCCUGGGGAGUACGGCCGCAAGGUUGAACUCAAAGGAAUUGACGGGGACCCGCACAAGCGGUGGAUGAUGUGGUUUAAUUCGAUGCAACGCGAAAACAAUUACCCACCUUUGACAUGUACGGAAGUCGCUAGAGAUAGCUUCGUGCUCGAAAGAGAGCCGUAACACAGGUGCUGCAUGGCUGUCGU